UUCUCUUGCCUGGUUUGUUAAUUGCUAAUUUGCUAAUUUGAUGUUGCAAAGCUUUCAGAUGAAGCAAAUGUUUUGUAGGAAGUAAACUGGAAAACACGGGAGGGAAGCGAUGACUUUUGAAACUGAAUCACGCAUGAUUUUAUUCUUCAUGAUUGCUAAUAUGCUUAAGUUACAAGAUUAUAAAUAAAUCAGCUUGGACUAAAGGAUGUAGACCGUUAAGGCCUUUGAAAAGAUCGAUUUUAAUUGUCGUUUUCGGAUUCAAGGACUAACCAUUAUAUAAAUAUUAUGUGUAUACUUUAUUGACUGGCAAGGGUAAACCAAGCCAGAGUGUUUUGGGAGAGAGAGGAAAAGAGGCGUGGAAAAACCUUAGCAAAAAUUUGCUAGAAAAGUGUAACUUUUCGUGGGAGAUAUCUUGUUUUAUAAAAUUUGUUUUAUAAAAAUCAAAAAAGACAAUUCUAAUAAAUUUGAAUACUGUCAAGGAAAAGAAGCCUGGCGUCCUCAUAACAAGAAUCACAAAGCUUUUUUGUCACAGGGCUCUGCUUAGCUAGCGACUUGAACAGCGCAUCAGACCGUUUCUUAAAACAAUUUGGCGUUUUUCUUUUUGGAUUCCCAGAAAACCGAAGAGGACAAAAAAUCAUUAUCAAUUGUUUUGUAGUCUGGUUCCUUUGUGAUAUGCUGUGAAACCCAACGAAUACCUUGCAGCUAUACAAACCCAUUUCCAGAUCAAGUACCCUACUUCCUCCUUUUCCCAACCCAUUUGACCCUCCCUUCCCAUAGCCACACUUUACCACUUCUCCCAGCCCUUCGUUCCCAGAGCCACGCCGUACCAUGUUUAUCUCACACUCUACAGUACUUUUAUAAGCACUCCGUGUCGAUUGCUACUUUUUGUUAAUCGUUAUAACAUAUAUAUUUUUAUUUGCAUUUACUAACGUUGGCAACCGUGAUUCUGGACGCAGGAUUGCGAGGGGCGCCUACAAGAAAUGGACAUACCGAAUUAAAGCUCCGAAAUGUCCUUUCUGGUUUUCUGGCUGAUGAACUGCUUUCUUAUCAUUUUCUGCCCAUUUUCAAGCUAAUUGCUCAAAACAUACAAGGAACAGACACAACCACCCCCAUCUGAGUUUGAGGCUGUAACCAGGUGAUAACGACUCCCCCUUAUCUCCUUUUUUCUCCUUUUUCCAUUUUGGAUUUUACACUUUUAUUCACACAUUUUAUUUUUAGUUUUUACCUUCUAUGCCUAUCGAAACAUGCUCUUCUGAUUCAAACUAAAUCUCUGAAACUACUGAAACUCGCGUGUUCAAAGUCUCCGUCAUAGUGAUUUAAACAAAAAAGGCGUACAAAGAAUGAAGUUAGCAAACAAUUUGUUACAAAAUGUCUUCCCAGGUCCUAAACUCUAUUAGAGGAGAAUUAGAAUGAAUUUAUGAAAGUAGUUGAUAGACAUCUAUUUUGAUAGUUAUGUUUUCUUUUCUCCUAUGGCCUCGUUCUUUGGUGUAUUUGGCAACAAAUUCGCUGCAUUCCCCUUUUCAACUACAUUUGAUGUCCACUGUCUCGAACUUUGGCAGGAAAUUUAAUUUUGUUCGAGAAAGCGGGUAAUCGAGAUAGUGAGCAAUUUUUCUAUCAUUAGCCCUAUACUAAAACGAGAAGAAGCGAAAAAACGAUUUAAUUAAUGAAUGCUUGAGAAUGCGGGUAUUCGAGAUAAUGGAUGCCGUUUGUUUCCCAGAAAUGCCUUCUUAUACCAUGUCAAAAAAUAGAAAGAAAAAAUACAAGAUCGAUUUCUUGUUUGCCUUGACCUAGCCUAGAAUGGUGUCCAUAUUGUAACCUAUUUUUGAAAUUCAAAUUGCAAUGGAAUCUGUGUAUUAAAUAGGAUUAUAAGUGGCUGGAAGUAAACUCUGUACUUAACGUUCCAUAGCCCCCUACACAGAAAAUUGAUCCCAGAAACCACAUAACCGUAAACGUCAUUUACUUGACUGUGUAUUCAGGGGCCAUUGCAAUGUGCGUUGGCAGAUUUUUGUUCUUGACACCGUAACAUUCGGUGUGGGCGUUGCGAUCACUCGCCAAAAGCACAGGCGGCUGCUUGGAGGAGAUAAAAAGGCGUUGGAGUUGGCAGCUUUAGAAAAACGUGAUACGCUAUGCUGAAAAAUACUUAUGCAUGUGUAGAGGCGCAUUUACUGCCAAAAUUAGUUCUUUAUUAUUUCACAUUUGUUCUUAAGUUUAGUUUUUAUAUGUUAAGCAUAUUAAGUAUGUUUAGUAUUUGAAUUUAGUAUAUUAGCUUUAAUCAAAUCAAAACUUCAGUUUCAAAACAAUCAACUUUUAAUUUACUUGUAAUCAUACUCUUAUUGUAAUCAUAAAAUUAUGGUAUGAUUGAUAAAAUGCAUGUUCUUGUAAAAUAUUUACAUGCUUGAUUUAGUUUUAAUGCUAUCCUUAAAUUACCAUGUACAUUAAGAUCGAAAACGUUUGGACGGAAAACUUCCUGCAAAACAACUUCGGACGAAAUAUUUACGGACGCAUUUUCGAGAAUUUCGGACAAAAAACGUUCGGGCAAACUCGUUUUGUAUGAUACAAAGAUAAAUGCCAAAAUCAGCCAUGGUUUUACGUUAAUAUGGAUGUAAUAGAGAAGCUAAGGAAAAACUAGACUUGAAAAGCUUAAAGCUGCAUCAUAGCCCAUGCACACCAGUGGCAGAAAUUCAUUUUCAAUACAACAGCCCACAAAAACAAGGACAUUUGCCGACACAUGACAUAAUUUACCGGCAAAAGCGUAUCUUAACCAGCAAUUUAACAAAACCGGGGGAGGGGUAAUUUCCCCCCACACCCCUGAAAUUUCCGCCACUGCUGCACACCGCCGCGAAUAAGAAGAAAGCUGAAAAAACCUCAAGAGCUAAGUGUUUAUUUCUUUAAAGAGGUGACACGUCCUCGAUGAAAAAUAUCAAGUCCUCGUGGGGAACUGAAUUUGUUAGGAGUACAGUUUUGAAGAUACCAGACCAUAGUCGCAAGAAAAGCUGCACAGGAGUCCUUAUCUUGUAACUAUCAUCAAACUUAAAGAGGAGGUACCUCUGUCGACUCAAGGACACUUGUUUCUAACAACUAAGAUUCGGAAACUAACAUGGAAUGCUGGAUGCUGAUAAAAACAUUUAGCAUUUUAAAAGCGUUACGAGAGAAAUUGAAAUUAUGAUUGAUGGAGAUGACAAUGAUCGAAGAAUCGAUGAUCAGAACGAAGUUCUGCUAGUUACGAUUUGACAUGAAGGUUCAGAUUCGAACCAUAAAAAAUCGUCGUGAAAAGCUAAAACCAGAAAUUAUUUGCAUCGAUGACUGAAAUAGGUCCCUGCAUCAUGUGUUUUCAUUCUAAAUUAUAAUAUUUUAUGUACAAGAAAAAGAAAAAGAUUAUUAUCCACUGCAUUUCUUUGUGUUUUUCUCAAUCUUUUGGAAUUGGAAACUUUCGAACGAAAAAACUUUCAGACAAACUUAGAUUUCGGACAAAUAUAAUUUCGGACGAUUGAUCCUAAAGUUUAAUCGUCCGAAAGUUUUCGGUUUAAAUGUAACAUCUAAAUUCUAGUCUCAGCCUCGAUUUCACACAAACUCAUUAAAUCAAGUUUUAAUGUCAGCCUCUAAUUAUUAAUGUCUGUUUUUUCGCGCCUUCUUUCUCUCAUAGUUUUGCACUGUAGUUUUUUGAUGUUUUGAAAAUGCACAGUCACAUUUGAAAAGGAUAAGAAAAAAGGGCACACUAUCACCAUGAGGGGAAAUUACUGUAGUCGGGAACAGCGGAACACGCACUAUUACUCGCAAGGGCCGAAGAGCACAUUACAGAUUGAAAGGAACGACAAAACAUGCUUUCGGGAAAUAUAACAAACGCUGGCUAAUAAGUUUUUACUAACUACAACACUUUGAAAUUACUGACAAUGUAAAGAAUCUCAGCCUACAAACUGACGCACUAUAAAAUGUAAAGAACUAUAAUAAGUAACUAAUGGCAACCACAACAAAAUCCUUGCAGAGUAGUAGAACAGAUCCUUUCUCGCCGUCUUCUGUUUUACUGUUAUUAAAUUUCAAUCAGUUUUAAUAAGCAAUGUUUAAUUAAUUUGGGGGCCUUAGCUCGAUAGCUCUUUUUAGAGUUCUUUCUAAGGGUCUUAAACAGCAAGUAACAUUAUAAUGUCAAGCUGUUAGCCUAGGAAUUAUUGUAAUUAAGAUAGAUUUUAAAAAACUGUAUUGUAGCUUUUCUUCAACACGUAUUUUAUAUUUUAAACUUUAACAUGUUUUUUUGAAUGAAAUUAAAUUGAAAUUGAAUUGAAAAUUGAUCAAAAUGUUUUUUUGGGCGGGGAGGGGGGGGUAAACAUGUAAAAAUGCAACAGCAGGCAAUUUCUUUAUGGUUUUAAGACAUUUUGAAAACUGUUUGGGGGCUAAAGCCCCCGGUUCCGCGGUCCCUGAUUACAAGACCCAAUUAAAGUAGGCCCAUUUCUUCCACUGUAAAACCACACUCGUUCCACAGUGAAAAUACUCUAAAGAUCUAUUAACUCUGUGCUUAUUACCAAAAUGAAGUGCAUACAGAUGUGUUGACAAUGCGAUUAAGAUCCUGUUAUAGUGCUCACACUUACAAUAAACAUUGAAAUCUAUCGUUAUUAGUGAUCUCAUAGGCUAAAAAUUGCACUUUUGCAAGGCUUUUGAUGAACCUGAACAGAGAAGGUUAAUCAAGGACUAACAAAGGAUAUGCAGUAGAGCCACAGAAAAAGCAAACGGUAAAACAGGAUUAAAAAACUCCAAGCUGUUGGCGUAGUGUGUGUAUAGGGAGAGAGAAGGUCACGAAGAGCAAAGGACGUUGUUGCCAGGAGAUAAUGAUAGAAUUCGCUCUUUAGAAUGCCAGAAAAAUCCCAUUUUUGACAUGAAUCAACAAAGAAACGUUUAAAAAAAUGCUUGGGCUAACCUCUCACCUUUGUCUUUUUCUCCUGCUUUAACAAUCCCUAAUGUAAAACAAAAAUGUCAGAAAGCAUUGACUGAAUAGCAAAUGAACAAAUCAAACAAUCAAGCAAAGGUCAAGCCUUUGUAAAGUGCAGCAUGUGUUUCUUGGACAAAGCUGUAAGUGAGAUACAAAAGAGUUUUAAGUGUAUCGUCAUAAGAAUUUUUUUAGUUUUGACUACAAAACCUGAGCGAAAAUCAUGAAACACCUCUGUAAGUGCAGAAUCAGCUACAUUUGUUAAAAAUUGGGUGAGCUACGGGCAAUGAAUGAUUUUAAGUUAAGUUUGCUAGUAGAUUAAUUUUAUUUUGGCUUGGUUCUAAAAAUCUAAGAAAAUUCUAGAAAUCUAUUCAUCACUAAAAAACUCUAUAGAAAAUUGUAGUGUGUCUUGGAUCUCCUGCCCCCUUCCCAUCGUACAAAACUAUUAACUCAUUGGAAAAUGCUCAUUAGGUGCCGAAUAAAGCAUGACACGAUGCUUGUAGUUGAAACUUUUAAAGUCCAUCGAAACACAAGUUUUUUCUGGUUGAGCAAAUCAUGAACAGUUUUAAAGUCAGAGGUCGUAGCCCAAAAUAUUCAGAUACUCGAAUUUUAAGAAAUAAUGACACUUGCGAGAACAUUUUUGCUCCAUCAAAUAUUCGACCAUUUUCAAAAACUUGCAAUAAUUUUAUUGAAUCACCUUUGAUAAAGAACUUGGAAAUGCUUUGACAACAUUAACUACGUUAGCAUGUUGCUAAGAUACGCUCUAAAGGCCUUUAUCGGCGAUUGGUCUUAUGUUAUAUUGAUUCAUUAUAUAACCCUUUGCAUUGAGAGUUUGUGAAUUAAUCAUAUGAAAUUAUCUUAUUGAAUUUCUGCUGUAGCCAUCAACGGUUGCUAGAAACAGUUAGAGUUACACAAGCGGUAUUCAUUAAAGAUUCUAGUCCUAAAAAGUGAUGCAAAUUAAAAUAAGCCACAAGAACUCAAGGAAAGGAUCACAGUUGUCUGAACACAUUAAAGCCGGUAUAGACUUGCGCUCACUUUACUGACCCUUGCAAGCAACAAGCGAUAUCAUUGACACUUUCAAACAUGAAUUGUGACAAAAAUAGAGGCAGUUCAUAUUCCAUGGUGUGAAAAAGCACAGUUGAAAUUACUUGAGAUUGCCAAGAAAGAGCCUAAAAGACAGAAUAUAACUUGGAAACCUUACAGGUAGUUCUUAACUGUUACUAUGCAUUAACAGAACUGCAUUGAUGGUACAAUCUUAUUGCCGUUUUCGUGUCUUCACAUAACGUCGUUUGUCAAGAAAAGCUUUUCAAAUUUCGUCAUCUAUUCCUAUAAGCCAGAGAGUCAAGAACAAAAGCAAAGCUAUACGAUAAAGCAGCUACUCUCUCGCAUUUGCAGCAGGAAUUGCGAUCAAGAUGAUGCACCAGAAGUUAGGCCCUGGUUUUCAUGGUGAAAUGGUGAAAACAAAGGACAAGAUUUAGCGAUGAUAUUUACGUAUCAAUUUUCUGGCUGUUUAGGUCAGGAAUUCUAAUGUCCACUCCCGGGGAAACAAUAAUCAAUCCAAUUUUCUUUCUAUGCUUGGUGUAGGAUAAGAGGAUAAAUUCAAACUGUUGCUAAUUAAUUAUAUCAAAAUGUGGCAGGUAGCCAUGACAACGAACAAUUUAGUGUCUGGAAUCAAUUACUUUUCAGACACCUCUUUCAUGUUUUUCUUUGGUGCGUUUCGAAGAACUUCCUUUCCUCGCCACCUUUAAACUAGCAAGACAACCUGGACAAAUUUGUUAAUGAUAUUUUAUCACCUGUUGAUAGAAAUUCAGUAAAACCUAAAUGAGGAGAACAAACGACGACUCAGUGGAUGGAGAAAGUACGACGAGAAAACUUCUUUCCGCCUUUGGUUAUACCAGACGCGUACAAGAGAAAGAAAGUGUGCUCGACAUUGUCAAAGGAAGGGGAAAAAGUGAAGACCGAAUUAGAGCAAAAGAAGAUUUUCCAUGAAAUGUUCCGGAAACGAUUCUCCCAAGAGCUUGGUUGUGGUAUAAGUACAAAACAAGAGUGUUAUGGGAAGGCCAAUGCUGAAGACUUCUGUGUUGCCUGUGCACAAAGGGUGUCUUUGCAAUCGUUUAAGAGGCCUUUAAAGGGAGGCAGAAAAGCGACUAGUCUACCAAACGAUGCCAUGAAAGGGUGCAUUUGCAUCUUAUGUAAACGAUCAUUGCCACUCUCACCGCAAGGGGUGGGCAAUCAUCACAUGGUCGUGGACAGAAAGACUGCUGAAGGAACUAUAAACAAAACUCAAGAAGCGAAAUUAGGACGAAAGGAGUAUAUGAAAAUCUAUGAGGGAGACAGGGACUUUCAAAUAAGCUCGCUACAUUAUGAUUCACGAUUAGAAGCAACAAAUUAUAAACUGGAAGCAGAACAGUACCUGCCUCCGAGGGAAGUGAUGAGAAGAUCGGAGAGAAAAUGUCAGCUGUGGCUGUUAAAGAAUGAAGAACAUUUGAAAAUGGAAGCAAACAGACACAGGCCGUGAUGCAUUUUUGAUUCGUGUAAAGUAUGAUUUCAAAAAGGAAAUACACCUUGCAUAAAUUAAAAAAUUUGAAAAAAGCCAGAGGGUUGAACAUUUGCAAGAACGGACUAGGGAUAGCAAAUUAGUUGGGAAAGCUUGUCAGUUGAUAUUCGUUUUCCAAUGUGAGUACUAUGGUUAUAGGUUAUUGUAGUACAGCAAAGGUACGUUAAUUUAUAAGUGCCCUAAAUUUUAAUCGCAUUUCAGUUCAUAAUGAACAUUCAGGAGGGUUUAAAUAGAACGGGAAGUUGGGAAAUUUUUAUAAGCUUGGAAUUACUCAUUGGAUUGGAUACACUUUUUAGAGAAUAAUUCGAUAUUUAAACAAUAAAAUUAAUCACAUCCUAAUUAGAACGUAUCACUUACAAACACGCCCAUUAGAUAGUGGUAGAAGAUACCCUCUUUCUAAUUGUGAGGAACAAAUGUCCAACAAAGCUAGAUUUGGUAGCGGAGGUCCCUUUUAUUCGAAAAGGUGACAUUAUGUUGCUGUUAUGCUCCUUCAUUGCUACCUUAUGUAGCAAAAAGCAAAUAAGGUAAAUUUUUAAGCACGCUAGUAUGCUAACGCAUAAGAAUUGUAGCAAUAUAAAUUAGCAUGAACUAAUGAUAUACACAAAGCAUUUGUUUGAAACAUGAACUUAUUGUAAACAUUACACAACGGGAGCGACAGGGAACCUUUACCUCUCAUUUUGUACAUGUUAUGGGUCACCAUGAAAAACUCCAAAUAAGCAAUUUGUAUCAAACGAACAAUUGUUAAUUGUUAUAAAUUUUCGUGUAGUGGUUAUGCUUAUGUUUAUCGAUUUUUUAAAUGUAGAUAAAAUGAAGCUAAUACAAAUAUCGAAAAAAUUUCAGUCAAAUAAUAACUUUGGAAUUUUCACUAAUAUAAUCAUUUUGUUUCAGAGGAUACGACAAAUGUAAAUGAUUACUUUCCCAGGAUUAAUGAGGAGAAAGUUUUCAGCAUGGCCAGAUGAUUUCUCACUUAAAGAGAGAUUCUGUUACCCGGGGC